ACAAGCGGUGAGUGCUUUGGGGUGGGGUGACUGCGUACCUUUUGUAUAAUGGGUCAGCGACUUAUAUUCUGUAGCAAGGUUAACCGUAUAGGGGAGCCGUAGGGAAACCGAGUCUUAACCGGGCGUUAAGUUGCAGGGUAUAGACCCGAAACCCGGUGAUCUAGCCAUGGGCAGGUUGAAGGUUGGGUAACACUAACUGGAGGACCGAACCGACUAAUGUUGAAAAAUUAGCGGAUGACUUGUGGCUGGGGGUGAAAGGCCAAUCAAACCGGGAGAUAGCUGGUUCUCCCCGAAAGCUAUUUAGGUAGCGCCUCGUGAAUUCAUCUUCGGGGGUAGAGCACUGUUUCGGCUAGGGGGUCAUCCCGACUUACCAACCCGAUGCAAACUGCGAAUACCGGAGAAUGUUAUCACGGGAGACACACGGCGGGUGCUAACGUCCGUCGUGAAGAGGGAAACAACCCAGACCGCCAGCUAAGGUCCCAAAGUCAUGGUUAAGUGGGAAACGAUGUGGGAAGGCCCAGACAGCCAGGAUGUUGGCUUAGAAGCAGCCAUCAUUUAAAGAAAGCGUAAUAGCUCACUGGUCGAGUCGGCCUGCGCGGAAGAUGUAACGGGGCUAAACCAUGCACCGAAGCUGCGGCAGCGACACUGUGUGUUGUUGGGUAGGGGAGCGUUCUGUAAGCCUGCGAAGGUGGCCUGUGAGGGUUGCUGGAGGUAUCAGAAGUGCGAAUGCUGACAUAAGUAACGAUAAAGCGGGUGAAAAGCCCGCUCGCCGGAAGACCAAGGGUUCCUGUCCAACGUUAAUCGGGGCAGGGUGAGUCGACCCCUAAGGCGAGGCCGAAAGGCGUAGUCGAUGGGAAACAGGUUAAUAUUCCUGUACUUGGUGUUACUGCGAAGGGGGGACGGAGAAGGCUAUGUUGGCCGGGCGACGGUUGUCCCGGUUUAAGCGUGUAGGUGUGUGUUCCAGGUAAAUCCGGUUCACUUUAACACUGAUGCGUGAUGACGAGGCACUACGGUGCUGAAGCAACAAAUGCCCUGCUUCCAGGAAAAGCCUCUAAGCAUCAGGUAACAUCAAAUCGUACCCCAAACCGACACAGGUGGUCAGGUAGAGAAUACCAAGGCGCUUGAGAGAACUCGGGUGAAGGAACUAGGCAAAAUGGUGCCGUAACUUCGGGAGAAGGCACGCUGACA
rnacentral:rRNA from 1 species